AGUUAAGGAGGGGAGGGGGUGGAGGGAAAAGCAAGCCAGGAGGUGCUUGCGGCCGCUUCUAGUAGUUUCCAGGCGCUGCCGGGCGGCUGGCACUAAGCGGUCCUGAGGCUGUGGCUACGGCUGCUCCGGAGCUGGUGGCGCCGCGAUAGGAGAGCCGAUGGCCAAGUGGGGUGAGGGAGACCCACGCUGGAUCGUGGAGGAGCGGGCGGACGCCACCAACGUCAACAACUGGCACUGGACGGAGAGAGAUGCUUCAAAUUGGUCCACGGAUAAGCUGAAAACACUGUUCCUGGCAGUGCAGGUUCAAAAUGAAGAAGGCAAGUGUGAGGUGACGGAAGUGAGUAAGCUUGAUGGAGAGGCAUCCAUUAACAAUCGCAAAGGGAAACUUAUCUUCUUUUAUGAAUGGAGCGUCAAACUAAACUGGACAGGUACUUCUAAGUCAGGAGUACAGUACAAAGGACAUGUGGAGAUCCCCAAUUUGUCUGAUGAAAACAGCGUGGAUGAAGUGGAGGUUUGUGCUUCAUAACUCCUAAUCCGAGUCCUCUAUAUCCUCUUAUUCUCAGAUGAGAAAAGUGACCUGUCAUUCAG
rnacentral:sRNA from 1 species